AUUGAACGCUGGCGGCAGGCCUAACACAUGCAAGUCGAACGGUAGCAGGAAGAAGCUUGCUUCUUUGCUGACGAGUGGCGGACGGGUGAGUAAUGUCUGGGAAACUGCCUGAUGGAGGGGGAUAACUACUGGAAACGGUAGCUAAUACCGCAUAACGUCGCAAGACCAAAGAGGGGGACCUUCGGGCCUCUUGCCAUCGGAUGUGCCCAGAUGGGAUUAGCUAGUAGGUGGGGUAACGGCUCACCUAGGCGACGAUCCCUAGCUGGUCUGAGAGGAUGACCAGCCACACUGGAACUGAGACACGGUCCAGACUCCUACGGGAGGCAGCAGUGGGGAAUAUUGCACAAUGGGCGCAAGCCUGAUGCAGCCAUGCCGCGUGUAUGAAGAAGGCCUUCGGGUUGUAAAGUACUUUCAGCGGGGAGGAAGGGAGUAAAGUUAAUACCUGUGCUCAUUGACGUUACCCGCAGAAGAAGCACCGGCUAACUCCGUG
rnacentral:rRNA from 1 species